CGAUGCACACACGCCCAACCCACGCGCACACACACCCAUGUUGGAUCCCAUCUCUCUCGUCUUCCUCGAUCCCCUUUCUCCACCCCACGCCGCCGCCAGAUUUCGGUGAUCCCUGCCGUUCCCCACCGCACAACUCUCCUCCCCGAGGUCACCUCUCCCUGCUCUCCAUCUCCACUGGCCGGUUUCUCUCCUCGCCCAGGAGAGUCCCGCCUCCUCACCGCCAAGGCUGCCGCCGCCCGCCGCCUCGAGCGGCGCCGCCUCGAGCGGCGCCGCCUCCUCCUCGAGCGCCGCGCCACAGACCUCGCCUCCUGCGCCCUCGCCGCCCGCCGAGCUUCCAGCUCUCCCCGUCCCAAUCGCCUCCUUCCUAUGGAAACCAUGCCACCCAGCGCCACCAGGAUGCCACCGCACCACCACCGACCUUCCAGCUCUCCAUGUCCCAAUCCUGUCCUCCGGCCGGCUGCUCCUCCCUCUCGUCGGUCAAAGGUGACAUUUUUAGCAGCCGGGAUGCUCGAUUCAUGGGCGGCGGUGCUCGAUUCGUGGGUGGCAGUGCUCAAUCCGUGGGCAGCGGUGCUCAAUCCGUGCUGGAGCAGCGGGAGGAGGAGGCCAGGGUGGAGAUCAUGGUGCGGGAGCGGGAGAGACGGUGGCGGCGGCGGUGGGGCAGCUCCGUUCGUCCACGCUCCUCGUCAGCCUCCACGACAAGAGCUUCCUCUACAGGUAACUGAAUAAAUUCAGCUAUCUGAACUCGCUGGGAGCUGCCAGGCUAUGAACUCUACGGUGGAGGCCGAGCUCACCCAGCUCGAGACCAUACGGUGGCAGUAGGAGACUGAGCACCAUGUGGUGUGGGCGCCGAUUCAAAAUCACUAGCGAGUCCUACUUCAACUGCAAUGCAAUGUGCGAAAGAAAGAGAACUCGAGCCAAGGUGAUGGUGAUGGAAAUGAAUGAAAGAAAGAGAAGCUGAUGGAGUAGGAGGACGAGCAGCAGCAGCAAAUCAGCCUGAUGAUGACGGGGUGCGGAAGGCAAUGGUGAUCAUGCUGAUGGCAUGAAGAAGGCUAAUGACCACAACCUGGACCUUUUGGCAUUUAGAGAUGGCAAACACAGACGGCGUGGAGAUAACAACUUGGACCACCCACCUCCCUUGCCUUUUUAAUUUUGGUUGUAGUGGUUGCAUCACCGUCGCGGUCGCAAAUCAGUAUGUAGUGUGCUUGUGGAGUUGGGUCUGGACUGCAGUGUCCAUCCAGUAGGUUAGGUGUUGUUGCUGCUAGAUCCCAUGAUGCUCACCUAAGUUUUGUGUUAUGUGGAGGCCAACCUUUGUGAUCUUAUUUGUCGACACUUGUGUGAUCUCGUAUUACUUUGUGAUACAAGUUGUACGAUAUAUAUGUUUUUAUGGAUGAUCUUGUGAUGUUCUUUU